UUGUUGCUCCAAUCCAUCGGUGGUGAUAGAUUUGCCCAGCUCCCUGCAUAUGUUCUCGCCCUGUUCCCCAAGUGAUUCAAAGCAUAUUUACAAGACAGCUGGCUUGGGUUUACAGGGAGCAAGUCUGAGGCAUGGAUCAGAGCAGAGUGAAGUGACCCAUACAGGGAACAAACUUAUGACCUUGGCCUCCUAAGCACUAUCUCCUUACAGAUUCAGCUAAUACAGCUCCCGAAAGCCUGCCCUUCAUCUAAGUCCACAUGCGACAUUGAAA
rnacentral:lncRNA from 1 species